AAGGUUGUACCAGAGAGUGCUAGCACGCCAGUUCACUGAUUUUACACUGAUAACCCGCAGUUAAAGCUGCAACACGGAUACUAACUAUUUGUAAGUCUGGGAUGAGCAUCAGCAACUACUUUUUGAAACAGUCCGACAACAUGCCGCGAAGGAAAGCUGCAGUGUCUGACGCCGCAGAGGGCUCCAACCUACCUACAGAGCGGAGAAGCUAACGAGGGGACGAGUAUGGGAGCUGACGCGGAGUUGGUUAUUAGAUCGGAACCAGCGAUCCGCAAGGUGAUUCGGGAAGUAACUGCGAACCUCACUAAAGUUAUUGAAGAUAAACUUGGACCAGUCUCUCUGCUUUUACAAGCGCAAGGAAAGCAGCUGGAGCACCAUGAGGCAAGGAUAAAGAACAGAGGCCCCGAUCUCGGUUUUGGAGGACACCACCAAUCCAGCGCUGGAUAAGUUCCAGUCGCUGGAGAAACGGGUAAAGGAGCUCGCGGAGUGCGUUGAUGAUUUGGAAAAUAGAGGGAGGAGGAAAAAUAUCAGUAUCAUCGGUCUCCCGGAGUGCGCAGAAGGUAGCAAUCCUAUCAGUUUUUUUGAGUCCUGGCUGCCUGAGCUUCUCAAUAUCAAAACAAAAGCUGGUCGAGUUAAAGUGGAAAGAGCGCACCGCACAGUAGCGCAAGCCCCGUCCUCUGGACAGAGAGCGCGUCCUGUAUUGGUGAGGUUGCACAAUUAUCAAGACAAACAGCGGACCAUGAACGCAGCAUGGGCGAUGAGUAGGAAUAACCAGCCCUUGAAGCACGGGAACGCCACAGUGAUGAUUUUCCAGGAUUACUCAACCGCGGUUGUACAUAAACGGAAAAGUUUUGACGAGGUAAAGAAGCGCCUUAGGUCCAUUGGAGCUGACUAUAGGCAGAUUUACUCCGCUUUGCUUAAGGUGACCCAUCGCGGAUCCACUAAAAUCUUCAGAGAUGCAGUGGAGACGUUACAUACAUGGAGCUCCACUAUCAUUACCGUUCGCUUUGAGGUCGACUAGAAUCAUUCUGCGGAACAUUUGUGGUAUGUUGUGAGCGUUGCUAGAACUCCUGGGGUGUUUUUUUUUUCUCUUUUUUCUUUUGGGCAGGGAAGUAUCUUCUGCUGUUAGGAAACCUCUACACUCGAGCUCCUCCAUUUCAGGAGGGGAACAGUGGGUUCUUCUUAUUUUUGUUUUGGUAAUGUUUAGUAUUGUUUGUUUAGCUUGGUAUUUGUUUACCUGUUUUGUUUUGGCCCGGCUCUGUUUUUAUGUUUACCUGAAUUACUGUCAUUAUUUAAUCUUAGGAAGAUGUGUAGAAUACUCCAGACCCUAUCUGAAUAAUAAAAGACCAGCAUGUCAACAGUGAA